GAUGAAGAACGUAGUGAAAUGCGAUAAGUAAUGUGAAUUGCAGAAUUCAGUGAACCAUCGAAUCUUUGAACGCACAUUGCGCCCGGCAGUAAUCUGCCGGGCAUGCCUGUCCGAGCGUCAUUUCUCCCCUCGAGCGCAGCUUUCCCCCCCGGGGGAGGGCCGCGCCCGGUGUUGGGGCGCUACGGAGGAGCCCAGCGCUCCCCCGUAGGCCCCGAAAUGUAGUGGCGGUCCCGCCGCGGCGCCCCCUGCGUAGUAGUUUUACAACUCGCAUCGGGUCCCGGCGGAGGCCAGCCGUCAAACCCCCCAACUUCAAUAGUUUGACCUCGGAUCAGGUAGGGUUACCCGCUGAACUUAAGCAUAUCAAUAGCGGAGGA
rnacentral:misc_RNA from 1 species